rnacentral:rRNA from 1 species
UGUGAGCUCGAUGAGUAGGGCGGGACACGUGGUAUCCUGUCUGAAUAUGGGGGGACCAUCCUCCAAGGCUAAAUACUCCUGACUGACCGAUAGUGAACCAGUACCGUGAGGGAAAGGCGAAAAGAACCCCGGCGAGGGGAGUGAAAAAGAACCUGAAACCGUGUACGUACAAGCAGUGGGAGCACGCUUAGGCGUGUGACUGCGUACCUUUUGUAUAAUGGGUCAGCGACUUAUAUUCUGUAGCAAGGUUAACCGAAUAGGGGAGCCGAAGGGAAACCGAGUCUUAACUGGGCGUUAAGUUGCAGGGUAUAGACCCGAAACCCGGUGAUCUAGCCAUGGGCAGGUUGAAGGUUGGGUAACACUAACUGGAGGACCGAACCGACUAAUGUUGAAAAAUUAGCGGAUGACUUGUGGCUGGGGGUGAAAGGCCAAUCAAACCGGGAGAUAGCUGGUUCUCCCCGAAAGCUAUUUAGGUAGCGCCUCGUGAAUUCAUCUCCGGGGGUAGAGCACUGUUUCGGCAAGGGGGUCAUCCCGACUUACCAACCCGAUGCAAACUGCGAAUACCGGAGAAUGUUAUCACGGGAGACACACGGCGGGUGCUAACGUCCGUCGUGAAGAGGGAAACAACCCAGACCGCCAGCUAAGGUCCCAAAGUCAUGGUUAAGUGGGAAACGAUGUGGGAAGGCCCAGACAGCCAGGAUGUUGGCUUAGAAGCAGCCAUCAUUUAAAGAAAGCGUAAUAGCUCACUGGUCGAGUCGGCCUGCGCGGAAGAUGUAACGGGGCUAAACCAUGCACCGAAGCUGCGGCAGCGACGCUUAUGCGUUGUUGGGUAGGGGAGCGUUCUGUAAGCCUGCGAAGGUGUGCUGUGAGGCAUGCUGGAGGUAUCAGAAGUGCGAAUGCUGACAUAAGUAACGAUAAAGCGGGUGAAAAGCCCGCUCGCCGGAAGACCAAGGGUUCCUGUCCAACGUUAAUCGGGGCAGGGUGAGUCGACCCCUAAGGCGAGGCCGAAAGGCGUAGUCGAUGGGAAACAGGUUAAUAUUCCUGUACUUGGUGUUACUGCGAAGGGGGGACGGAGAAGGCUAUGUUGGCCGGGCGACGGUUGUCCCGGUUUAAGCGUGUAGGCUGGUUUUCCAGGCAAAUCCGGAAAAUCAAGGCUGAGGCGUGAUGACGAGGCACUACGGUGCUGAAGCAACAAAUGCCCUGCUUCCAGGAAAAGCCUCUAAGCAUCAGGUAACAUCAAAUCGUACCCCAAACCGACACAGGUGGUCAGGUAGAGAAUACCAAGGCGCUUGAGAGAACUCGGGUGAAGGAACUAGGCAAAAUGGUGCCGUAACUUCGGGAGAAGGCACGCUGAUAUGUAGGUGAAGUCCCUCGCGGAUGGAGCUGAAAUCAGUCGAAGAUACCAGCUGGCUGCAACUGUUUAUUAAAAACACAGCACUGUGCAAACACGAAAGUGGACGUAUACGGUGUGACGCCUGCCCGGUGCCGGAAGGUUAAUUGAUGGGGUUAGCGCAAGCGAAGCUCUUGAUCGAAGCCCCGGUAAACGGCGGCCGUAACUAUAACGGUCCUAAGGUAGCGAAAUUCCUUGUCGGGUAAGUUCCGACCUGCACGAAUGGCGUAAUGAUGGCCAGGCUGUCUCCACCCGAGACUCAGUGAAAUUGAACUCGCUGUGAAGAUGCAGUGUACCCGCGGCAAGACGGAAAGACCCCGUGAACCUUUACUAUAGCUUGACACUGAACAUUGAGCCUUGAUGUGUAGGAUAGGUGGGAGGCUU